rnacentral:rRNA from 1 species
GAUGAACGCUGGCGGCGUGCCUAAUACAUGCAAGUCGAGCGAACGGACGAGAAGCUUGCUUCUCUGAUGUUAGCGGCGGACGGGUGAGUAACACGUGGAUAACCUACCUAUAAGACUGGGAUAACUUCGGGAAACCGUAGCUAAUACCGGAUAAUAUUUUGAACCGCAUGGUUCAAAAGUGAAAGACGGUCUUGCUGUCACUUAUAGAUGGAUCCGCGCUGCAUUAGCUAGUUGGUAAGGUAACGGCUUACCAAGGCAACGAUGCAUAGCCGACCUGAGAGGGUGAUCGGCCACACUGGAACUGAGACACGGUCCAGACUCCUACGGGAGGCAGCAGUAGGGAAUCUUCCGCAAUGGGCGAAAGCCCGACGGAGCAACGCCGCGUGAGUGAUGAAGGUCUUCGGAGCGUAAAACUCUGUUAUUAGGGAAGAACAUAUGUGUAAGUAACUGUGCACAUCUUGACGGUACCUAAUCAGAAAGCCACGGCUAACUACGUG